rnacentral:lncRNA from 1 species
UUUAUCAUUCUGUAGGUGCAGAUUUGCCAGCACACACACACACACACACACACACACACACACACAGAGAGAGAGAGAGAGAGAGAGAGAGAGAGAUUCAAAACAUAAUUAACUGACCUAAAGGUCAGAUCUGAGUUUCACACAUACUUUUCAAUCCGGACUGGGGCUGAACACCUCCAGCUCUAUUUUAACCUGCAGAGACAUGGAGACAUACACAUAUACCAGCGUCUGCAUUGCUGUCACGUCUCUGCGUCACCGCCUUUCAUCAUCCCAGCGCUUGCAGACCUGACUCAUGGAUCAUGUAAAAAUGAGUAUGUGGAUCCUGCAGACUCCUGCUGAUGCCGGUUUGAAAGCCUACCACUGCACUUCCUUUUGAAUGGACAUUAGAAGGUGUGUGAAGAGAAGUCUGACUACGAAUUUGUUAUGAUGGGAAACGGUGGGACACUGGUGUUGGUCAUUCUCACAUCCAUCUUUAUGGCAAGAAGUCACACAAAAGUUGUCCAUCUUUCCACCCAUCUGGAAAGUGAUAAUGGUAAGAAGAUUGCUGUCUGUAAGGCCAGACAUACAAUGAUAGAACCCACUCUUCACUGGGAACCUCCCCUAAGCGUUUUGUACAGCUAUUUUACUGUCGACUACAACAACGCAUCCUCCACUAUUGAGAAUCGUGUGUAUCUGGAUGAUCAUUUCAACAUCAUUGAGCUUGUCUGUGUGGCCACAUACCCAUCUCCCAUGUCCGGCUCUGUACGGCUAAAGAAGACUCUACAACUUCCAUCAGGAGAAAGAUUUUGUCUCCGAAUAAAGGAGGACACACCUGAGAAGAGAUGAAGUGAUACAGAGAAGUGUGAAUGGAAAAAACGAAUUUUUGAAUGACCUGAGGAUUAAAAUUUUUUUUUAUUUAAUAGCUUAUCCUUACAAAAAAAAAAGUAUGUGUUGUGUUUAUCAUUAGAUCAAUUUUUUAAUCUGGCAUCUAAAUGAAAAAUCUUGCAUGUUCUCAUCUUUCUCAUGAUUGUAACAUGAUUUGAUAGUGUGCCUGAUGUAUUUGUGUGUUGAUGUAUUUUUGAUGCUUAAAGUGUGGUUUAAAUUACUAUAUCUAUCCAGCUUCACAUACAAAUCAUAGUCUACAAAUCAUUUUCGAAUAAAACCUAAGAAUCUUGCAAUCUUUAUUUGUGGUAAUCUGAAGUGAUUUCAUUACUUGCACAUAUGCAAUAAAGGUCAUUACUGUUGCUUGAGACAGAGAAUAGCG